GUAAAGAGCUCGUAGGCGGUUUGUCGCGUCUGCUGUGAAAUCCCGAGGCUCAACCUCGGGCCUGCAGUGGGUACGGGCAGACUAGAGUGCGGUAGAGGAGAUCGGAAUUCCUGGUGUAGCGGUGAAAUGCGCAGAUAUCAGGAGGAACACCGGUGGCGAAGGCGGAUCUCUGGGCCGAUACUGACGCUGAGGAGCGAAAGCGUGGGGAGCGAACAGGAUUAGAUACCCUGGUAGUCCACGCCGUAAACGGUGGGCACUAGGUGUGGGCAGCAUUCCACGUUGUCCGUGCCGUAGCUAGCGCAUUAAGUGCCCCGCCUGGGGAGUACGGCCGCAAGGCUAAACUCAAAGGAAUUGACGGGGGCCCGCACAAGCGGCGGAGCAUGUGGCUUAAUUCGACGCAACGCGAAGAACCUUACCAAGGCUUGACAUACACCGGAAACAUCCAGAGAUGGGUGCCCCCUUGUGGUCGGUGUACAGGUGGUGCAUGGCUGUCGUCAGCUCGUGUCGUGAGAUGUUGGGUUAAGUCCCGCAACGAGCGCAACCCUUGUCCCGUGUUGCCAGCAGGCCCUUGUGGUGCUGGGGACUCACGGGAGACCGCCGGGGUCAACUCGGAGGAAGGUGGGGACGACGUCAAGUCAUCAUGCCCCUUAUGUCUUGGGCUGCACACGUGCUACAAUGGCCGGUACAAAGAGCUGCGAUACCGUGAGGUGGAGCGAAUCUCAAAAAGCCGGUCUCAGUUCGGAUUGGGGUCUGCAACUCGACCCCAUGAAGUCGGAGU
rnacentral:rRNA from 1 species